ACCAGUUCCAACAAGGUACGGCCUUAUUUCGUCCAGAACCUUCUCUAUAUUUUCUUCGUUCAACUCGAGACCUGUUUCCUCAUCGGUGAUGGGUUCAACGGCAACAAUCUCUGGAAUUUUUUCCAUUAAGCGACGCUCUAUUCCCAACUUCAUCGUUGUUACAGAGCUCGGACAGGACCCACAUGCUCCCUGCAGUUUCAACCUUACAACAUUUCCAUCAAUCUCAUGUAAUGCUACAUUUCCUCCAUCUGAAAUAAGAUACGGCCGCACUUCAUCCAAAACCAACUCAACAUUCUCAGCAGUAAGUGGCAAUUCCACUAUGGGAUCAGG
rnacentral:misc_RNA from 1 species